AGUGAACGCUGGCGGUAGACCUAACACAUGCAAGUCGAACGGCAGCACAGUAAGAGCUUGCUCUUACGGGUGGCGAGUGGCGGACGGGUGAGGAAUACAUCGGAAUCUACUUUUUCGUGGGGGAUAACGUAGGGAAACUUACGCUAAUACCGCAUACGACCUACGGGUGAAAGCAGGGGAUCUUCGGACCUUGCGCGAUUGAAUGAGCCGAUGUCGGAUUAGCUAGUUGGCGGGGUAAAGGCCCACCAAGGCGACGAUCCGUAGCUGGUCUGAGAGGAUGAUCAGCCACACUGGAACUGAGACACGGUCCAGACUCCUACGGGAGGCAGCAGUGGGGAAUAUUGGACAAUGGGCGCAAGCCUGAUCCAGCCAUACUGCGUGGGUGAAGAAGGCCUUCGGGUUGUAAAGCCCUUUUGUUGGGAAAGAAAAGCAGCAGGUUAAUACCCCGCUGUUCUGACGGUACCCAAAGAAUAAGCACCGGCUAACUUCGUG
rnacentral:rRNA from 1 species